CCCCCUUCACUAUUGUCUCUUUGCCACUAAGUAGCAAAGCUCCUGCAGAGAGCUGUUGUAGUCAGGGUAUGCCCUAUGUCUCCUUUCUUUCUACUCUCUCUAGUCUCUGCCCAGGUUUCUCCUCAGUCGGUGUCUUCAUCAUGGAUUCUAUUGUUGUGAUACACCGUAACGAAAACGUGACAGUCUGUUUCCUUAGGCUCCCACAUCACAAUCCAUCACCGAAGGAAGUGAGGGCAAGAAUCUAAGCAGGGCUGGAACCUAGAGGCAGGAGCUGAUGCGUGGGCCAUGGAGGAAGGGGUGCUGCUUACUGGCUUCCUCUCGUGGCUUGUUCGGUUGCACUCAAGACCACAGGACAUGUUAGCCUCCCUGCAUCCAGUACAGAAACAUCAGCUGUGCGAAGCCCCUCAGCCUUGCUUAUUGGACCCUUCCUGGUGCUUCUACUCAGCCCUGUGCAUGUAGGCUCACGCCAUUAUGCAGGUGAAGACAGACAAGAAAAAACAAGGCCUGUCAUUGGAUGAGAAGGAAGGGAGGCGGGAACAGAGAUUUUAGAAGGAAAGGGAGGAGCCGGAGCAAGAAAAAAAGAGCUGGGAAGACUUGGCAGCAGAUGUUACGAUUCUUCUCUGUGCAGUUACAGGAAAGCCUGACCAAGAAGAUAACUACAUAGAAACAUGCAGGACGUGAGGAAGAAACCCAAGGGAAUGGGAUUGGAAAAUUAGGAUGUCAAACCAUUCCAGAAGAACUUGGUUGGGUCAAGAUUUCUUUUUCACAAAUUACUAUCCAUUUUAUUAAAAGACUUCAUGUGGAUGGCUGUCUGUAUGCAGGUGAGGGUGGGAACAAGAUAAGGCUAGGGCCUGUGAUUGGGCAGUAGAAAAAAAAGGUGGGCUGAGGGUUUUAGAGACAGGAGAGGUAGGGACAGAGAGGAGGGAGGAGAGGAGGAGGAAGAAAGGAUGAGCCACAGGUAGUUAUGACCAUCAUAGAAGGGAAUGGACUAAUACAGGAUAAUUUGCCCGAUCUAGGUGAGCUACUUAUGUCAAUAUCAAUUAGCUCUAAGUUCAUUGUGCGGGCAUUUUGUGGGGAGAGAAUUGACUGAUAGAAAUCUGACGGAUAAAUUACAAGCCUCCAGAGUUUUGAUUUUUACUGGGUUACAGGGAU